rnacentral:tRNA from 1 species
AGCUUCGUAGCUCAGCUGGUAGAGCGCUUGCUGCGUAGAGGCAUUGUGUUUCUGUCGCUGGUACGAAUCCAGCCGAAGCCG